UAAUUUUGAUUUCCUCCCCCUCUCUAUGUCGUAUGGGUCCUCCACCAUCCUCGGAGACCUCCACUUUCCAUCAUCGAAUCUUCUCCUCCACUGUUCAUCGUCGAAUCUUCUCCUCCAUUGUUCAUCGUCGGCAUCCUCCACCAACACUUACAGGCUCUUUAUUUGCAUUCGUAUUUGAAGACAACGUUGAUGCAAGCUUGUAGAUAUGGGCACUCGGAAGUUGUGCAGACUCUUUUUCUUUAUAGAUGCAAUGUGAGUUUUUGAAACUCCUAAUUUUUAUUAAUUUCCUAGUAUAAUCUUAAGCCCUUGGGUUUGGUCAAAGCUUCAAUACGGCGAUGAGGCGAGGAUAAGGGUGAUGGUUGCUCUGCAGAUGGGGCAAUGGGGAUGGCCAAGGAAGUCAUACCCUUUUCACUCACAAAUCAUGGGACGAUGGCUGCUUAGUUGGUGAAAACCGACGUCUUCAGCUUGAUUUUUGGGCAAAAUCGACGCCGAUUGACGUCUGAAAAUUUGAAGGGGCAGUCGAUCAUAACUGGUCAAUGGGGAGGAGAAAGACCGGUUGUCUUGACCACGGUGGUUCUCGGUCGGUGUUCGGUUUGUGUAGAGAUCCUUUGAUGAAACAUCUCGAGGCAGUAUUGCUGAUCCGACAAUUCAAAAGGAGAGCUCAGACUAAUCAUUGAAGGCUAUGAUGGAGACAUGUAUACCAGGUGCUGUCUAGCACACCAUCUGAUGGAUAGGCCUCUGUCUUGAAAAUGUUCUUUGCAAUUCUCAGUUUGCAGCCACACAGAUUCAGGAUUCAUAGAGCUGUGACACUCGUCACUCAGUACAAUGAAAACUGAGCUGUGACAUCCUCCUGAGAAAUGUUCAACUUUCAGCUUCUUAAUUGGUGCAUAAAUUAGACGACAAUGUAUGUUUUGAGAUCAUA